AAAAGUAACUCUGAGAGAUACAAAGGCUGGCAUUGAAUCUUGUGAUGUUAAAGAAACUAGUGGUACUGGAGCUUCAGGAAAACAAGAUUCAUUGAACUCUUCCCAUGCCAAGUGUAGUGAGGAGCUUGAUCUUACAACUGAUGAGACAAUUGAUGAGUUUGAUGACCAGGAAAAUAGAAAAGCAGUUGUAAUUGGUGAGGAGACUGAAGAUAAUUCUGUCUAUCAAGUAAACCAAAUAAGCCUCAAAAGUUCAACAGGAGGAUGGUUUGUGUCAGAGGGAGAGUCUGUUCUUCUUGCUCAUGAUGAUGGAUCAUGCUCCUUUUAUGAUAUUGCUAAUUGUGAGGUAUUUUUCAGUUUAUUUUACUUCUAUUUGAUGGUGAAUUCCCUUUUUGUUUUGUGGUUUGAUCAUCAUCUUGCCUAAAUGUUUGUUUGACAUGCUCUUUUUUCGGAUUCUCAAAUUUGGUUGAAAGGCUCCAAAUUGGUGCAAAUUCUUGAAUAACUUGCACAAACUUCUCUUCUACUAUAAAUAAUUUUUAGUUGAGUUGCUUCUAAUUAUAUAUUCAGAUUGUUGAAGUUUGUCCUAUGGCAUUUCCUGCUGAAUCACACUCCAAAACUUUACAAGCAGAUUGGUGCACAAAAUGAUUUGAUUAAAUUAAUGGUGAAUUAUUCAAUCUACUAAUGACCUGCAAUAAAUUUCAGGAAAAAUCUGUUUACAAGCCCCCAGAUGGAGUCUCACCUAAUAUGUGGAGAGAUUGUUGGAUAAUCCGUGCACCCGGUGCUGAUGGAUGCUCGGGGAGGUAUGUUGUGGCUGCAUCUGCUGGGAAUACUCUUGAUUCUGGAUUUUGUUCAUGGGAUUUCUAUACCAAACACGUGCGAGCUUCUUACAUAGAGCAUGGAGAAACAAACACUUCAAGAACAAUAUUAGGUCAGAUUCCCAGUAAUACUACAUACAGGAGAAAUGCUUUGUCUUGCAUAUCAUUGCCAGAAACUCGACAGUGGUGGUAUCGGCCAUGUGGGCCUCUUAUCAUAUCUACUGCCAGCACUCAAAAGGUUGUGAAGAUAUUUGAUAUACGUGAUGGAGAGCAAAUAAUGAAAUGGGAGGUGCAGAAGCCUGCUUUAGCAAUGGAAAGUUCAAGUCCUUUGCAGUGGAGAAACAGAGGAAAAGUAGUAGUAGCUGAAACAGAAUCAAUUUCUUUGUGGGAUGUCAACUCUCUUAACCAACAAUCAUUGUUAUCAAUUUCUUUGUCUGGUCAAAAAAUUUCUGCUCUUCAUGUGAUUAACACUGAUGCUGAAUUAGGUGGUGGGGUUCGGCAAAGGUAAGUAAACCUGCACAGUUCACACAAUGCUACCACAUGUUAUCUUAAUAUCAUGUUAUCUGCAUUCCCUAAUUCACUUGCCUGCUCUCAGUAUGAAUGUUUCCUAUUCAAUUGAUGUUGUCAUUAUGCUUUGAGAACUUUGGUGAUCUUUGGUAAAUUUUUGUCUGUCAAUUACAUGCCAAAUAUAUUAAAUGAUCAGUUUUUUUUUCUUAAUGCACUCACAAUCACAACCUCAUAUAUGCUAUGCAAUGCAUGUGAUUGAUACUAACAAUUAUGAUCUUUGAAUUUAUUGUUGAAAUAGAUGUAGGCAUCCGUGAGUGAAAGUUGUGUAGAUAGAACUGACCGCAUCGUAGUUCUGGUUCAAUGAUAGGAUGGAUCGAGGAUUGGUCUUAGACAGUUGUGUUUCAGUAGGACUUCUGUAUGAUUUUGAUUCAACCUGGUUUUUAUGCAAACCAUUUUUUUUCCAUAUCAAGAUUAUUUUGUUUUUUGCCGGAGUCAAGAUUAUUUGGUUAUAAUGUAUAUUAGUUUGUUUUUGUAUCAAUUGGAAUAAUUGGUACUCACUCUCACCAGACUAUUCCCUUAAAGUGGGAGGUCAAGGGUUCGAGCAGUGGGGGAGGCGACCUAAUUCCCAGAGGAAGGAAUUGGGCCAAAUCCACUCGGGCUAGGGCGGGCCGUAAUGGCUCCCCCGAGGGACAAAUCCUGCCUGGAACCCGUGAGGGUGAAGUGAUGUUAAGAGCUGCUCACAGUGGCUGGGCCCAGAGGAAGGUCACGGGCUGUGAGCGGUAACAGGGCCGGUCGUACGGGGCCGGGCUGUUAAGGGAGUGGCUUUUUCUAUAUAUGUAAUUCUUUUUUUUUUGUUUGUUUGAAUUUCCGGUUCUAACAGCUGUUGUGGUUCGGGUUUGGGGGGCCAUAACCACUGCCAACCGCCUGGCGAUAUCCUGUUUCUGAUUACAAUCUGGGCUAUGUCUAGGCGGUUUGCUAAAGUUAUGUACUAUUGCUGAAGUAUUUGAUGUAUUCCUUAUGAUCUAAUGGCAAUGAUAAAGUCUGCAUUCAUGUUAAGUGUCUUAAUUUUUCUUUUAUUUAAUUGGAUCUCUGGGUAGAUAGGUAGUGCAGCCAUUCAUAAUGUAAAAUUUAAUGAAAUAAAAUUUCAGAUAGUUUGCAUUUGAAAUACAUGCAUAAUGAAGCUAUAGCAAAGUUCUCUUGCUAGUCCUCAAGCAGUUGAUUUGUGCUAUGCAGAGUAACGUCAGCCGAAGCUGAAGGAAAUGAUGGUGUAUUCUGCACCUCGGAUGCUGUUAAUGUCUUAGACUUUCGUCAUCCAUCUGGCAUAGGUCUUAAAAUACCUACAGUUGGUGUUAGUGUGCAGUCAAUCUUUACUCGCAGAGACUCUAUCUACAUUGGCUGUACUAAUAUGAAGUCUGCAGGGAGGAAAGAAGCUUGUUCACAGGUGCAACAGUUCUCAUUGCGCAAACAAAAGAUAGUCAGCACAUACUCUAUGCCAGAAUCUAAUGCUCACUCGCAUUACUCUGGCAUAACACAGGUUUGGGGAAAUUCUGAGUUGGUUAUGUGUGUUUGUGGGCUGGGGCUGUUUGUGUUUGAUGCCUUGAAGGAUGACAUCAUGCAGUCUUGUGCUGUUGAUUAUGGUAGUACGGAAAAGGUAAAAGAGGUUAUUGGUCCAGAUGACAUGUAUUCCCCUUCUUUUGACUACUUGGCAUCUCGUGUCCUCCUAAUAUCAAGAGAUCGUCCAGCGCUGUGGAGGCACUUACCAUAGGCCUAUGUAAUAUAUCAAUCCAUAUAAGCCUGGUGCUGCUGGUGUAAUUUGUUGUUAACAAUGUGCUUCUGUUUAUGUAUAAUAUAUGUUAUGUAAGAUUAAAAACAUAUACUAUUUAUUGAGGCAAAGCUUAUUGAAAUAUAGGAUGAUCUUGAAAGGCCACCUGUUUAUUUUAUCACCUCUUACCACUUUGUACUAGCUUAUAACCAAGCAAUGCAGUGGGAGGGAUGUUUUUUUCUUAUUUAAUUAAAUUAAUAUAUUAUAUUCGAUUAUUAUAAUGAAAAUAAAAUUAAAAUAGUUAAUUAAGUAAAUUAAUUACUAACAGAUCAAUAAUUUCAGGAAUUUAAGUAAAUCUUGAACUUUAUUUAGUGAUACAAUGGACUGAAAUCAAAGAACAUGAGCGUGCACUAUACAAAUAAGACUGGAUAAAUAAAUAAUAUUAAAUAAUAAAGUAUAGCAUUGUUGGCUAAAUGCAAAACACAUCAAAACCUAUUACCAUAAGUAAAUAUUAAAAUAAUAUUAAUAUGUUAGCUAAUUUUAUUUUUAUAUUUAUAUUUAAAUCUCGCCAGAAAUUUGAGAUAAAGGAAUUGAUGAAGGGCCUCAAGGAAGCAUUAAGUGCCCAGCCCAAGAAGCAAUUUAGAGUAGCAGAGAGAAAAUCAAUUUCCCGCUCAAAAAUCAAACCCUCCAAUUUAAAACUCAUAAUUGCAUUCUGAUGAAUUCAUUACUCAUGUAUAUAUCCACCAAACUAUUCUCUAUUGAAUCCAUUCAAUUACCCUAAACUUGAUUUUAUUGUCUAAUUAAUCUUUCACAACUCACAAACCUCAUGUCAGCUCCAUCGACUCGCAGGCUCAAGGAUCGCAACGGCGAGGGAGCCAAAACCGCCGCUGUUCAGAAAUCCAGGAAAACCCUCACCCCAAUUUCAACCUCGGAAUUUAACACAAGUUCCACCCUAAAAAAAUCACUAUCUGCUAAAGAGAAUCCCAGGCUCAAUUCACGGGCCCAGAAGCCCGCGAUCAGGCCAGUGCCGCGUCUCGACAAGGCUGCCGCCGCUGUUGUUCCGGGAACUGAUGGCAGUGAAGGGCGCUUACGGUGGUCUACGUCGUCGGUUCCGAGAGGUAGGAGCUCAAGCCCUUCUGAGUUCAUUAGGGUUUUUAGAGAUUCUAGGGUGGUGUUGAGUGCAGGCAAAAAGACUGGGACUAAAGGCUUUAGAGAUUGUAAAGAAAAUAGAGAAUUUGGUGUGGAAUUAGGGAGGAAGAGCGGAUUUUGUGAACGAAAUUAUGCGAAAGCAGUGGAAAAUGAGAAUAAUUCAAGUGGAUGUAGGUCUGUGAACGGUAAUUAUGACAAAGGGGUCAAUUUAACCUCGAGCUUGAUAAAAUCUAGCAAGGUUGAUGAUGUUUCUGCUUCAAAUGUAGAAUCCAAAAUCCCAAAAGGUGUUAAGAUCGAUAAGUUAUGCCCAGAUAAGUUUGGGUCUGAUGAAUUAAAUUGUCUAAACGAGUCUAGUGUGAGAAAUGGUAGUAAAGCAAGAGUUUUGGAGAACUCGAAGGAGAAGGACUUGAUUGAAGGGAGUACUGGUAGCAAGCCUGGUGUUAAAUUUUCGAGCAAGCUUCAUGAGAAGCUUGCAUUUCUGGAAGGGAAAGUGAAGAAGAUUGCAUCUGACAUUAAGAGGACAAAGGAGAUGUUGGAUAUGAAUAAUCCAGAUGCAUCCAAGGUGAUACUUUCGGAUAUUCAAAACAAGAUUUCAGGAAUUGAGAGGGCAAUUGGAGGUGAUUCAUCCAAAAAUGUUGGCAAUGAAGGUGGAGAGAAUGAGGUCCCUGGGAAUAGUAAAAUUGAGAAAGCAGAUCAGGCGAAGGGUUCAGUUAAGGGAUUGAGCAAUGAGGAACUUGAAGCAAGACUUUUUCCUCAUCAUAAGGUGCUUAGAAAUAGAGCAUUAAUGAAGGAAUCAUCUGGAAGUUCUGAGAGUUCCAACGGGUCUAAUUUCCCUGACUCAAUUUGUGAGUCAGAGAUCAAAGAGAAGUUGUUGAGCCCUAUUGAAGAAAAUCCAAUAGCAGUAGAAUUUUUGUCUUCCCUUAAUAAGGAGGAUACAAAAGUAACUCUGAGAGAUACAAAGGCUGGCAUUGAAUCUUGUGAUGUUAAAGAAACUAGUGGUACUGCAGCUUCAGGAAAACAAGAUUCAUUGAACUCUUCCCAUGCCAAGUAUAGUGAGGAGCUUGAUCUUACAACUGAUGAGACACUUGAUGAGUUUGAUGACCGGGAAAAUAGAAAAGCAGUUGUAAUUGGUGAGGAGACUGAAGAUAAUUCUGUCUAUCAAGUAAAC
rnacentral:lncRNA from 1 species